rnacentral:rRNA from 1 species
GUGAGGAAUAUUGGACAAUGGGCGAAAGCCUGAUCCAGCCAUGCCGCGUGAUAGAUGAAGGCCCUCUGGGUUGUAAAUAUCUUUUAUCUGGGAAGAAACUCCUCUAUUCUUAGAGGCCUGACGGUACCAGAGGAAUAAGCACCGGCUAACUCCGUGCCAGCAGCCGCGGUAAUACGGAGGGUGCAAGCGUUAUCCGGAUUCACUGGGUUUAAAGGGUGCGUAGGCGGGUUGAUAAGUCAGUGGUGAAAGCUCCGGGCUUAACUUGGAAACUGCCAUUGAUACUGUCAGUCUUGAAUGUCGUAGAGGUAAGCGGAAUGUUGCAUGUAGCGGUGAAAUGCUUAGAUAUGUUACAGAACACCAAUUGCGAAGGCAGCUUACUAUGCGAUAAUUGACGCUGAGGCACGAAAGCGUGGGGAGCAAACAGGAUUAGAAACCCUAGUAGUCC